rnacentral:rRNA from 1 species
AUUGAACGCUGGCGGCAGGCUUAACACAUGCAAGUCGAGCGGAGUGAUGGUGCUUGCACUAUCACUUAGCGGCGGACGGGUGAGUAAUGCUUAGGAAUCUGCCUAUUAGUGGGGGACAACAUCUCGAAAGGGAUGCUAAUACCGCAUACGUCCUACGGGAGAAAGCAGGGGAUCACUUGUGACCUUGCGCUAAUAGAUGAGCCUAAGUCGGAUUAGCUAGUUGGUGGGGUAAAGGCCUACCAAGGCGACGAUCUGUAGCGGGUCUGAGAGGAUGAUCCGCCACACUGGGACUGAGACACGGCCCAGACUCCUACGGGAGGCAGCAGUGGGGAAUAUUGGACAAUGGGGGAACCCUGAUCCAGCCAUGCCGCGUGUGUGAAGAAGGCCUUAUGGUUGUAAAGCACUUUAAGCGAGGAGGAGGCUCUUUUGGUUAAUACCCAGAAUGAGUGGACGUUACUCGCAGAAUAAGCACCGGCUAACUCUGUGACAGCCGCCGCGGUAAGAC